rnacentral:rRNA from 1 species
AACGAACGUUGGCGGCGUGGAUUAGGCAUGCAAGUCGAGCGAGAACGUCACCUUCGGGUGGCUAGUAAAGCGGCAAACGGGUGAGUAUCGCGUGGGAAACCUGCCCUUGAGUUGGGGAUAACACCCCUAACGGGGUGCUAAUACCGAAUGACAUGACCGGAUCGCAUGGUCUGGUCAUCAAAGCUGGCCUCUACUUGUAAGCUGGCGCUCAAGGAUGGUCCCGCGUCCCAUUAGCUUGUUGGUAGGGUAACGGCCUACCAAGGCUGCGAUGGGUAGCUGGUCUGAGAGGAUGGUCAGCCACACUGGGACUGAGAUACGGCCCAGACUCCUACGGGUGGCG